GACAAACGCUGGCGGCGUGCUUAACACAUGCAAGUCGAACGGAAAGGCCCUGCUUUUGUGGGGUGCUCGAGUGGCGAACGGGUGAGUAACACGUGAGUAACCUGCCCUUGACUUUGGGAUAACUUCAGGAAACUGGGGCUAAUACCGGAUAGGAGCUCCUGCUGCAUGGUGUGGGUUGGAAAGUUUCGGCGGUUGGGGAUGGACUCGCGGCUUAUCAGCUUGUUGGUGGGGUAGUGGCUUACCAAGGCUUUGACGGGUAGCCGGCCUGAGAGGGUGACCGGCCACAUUGGGACUGAGAUACGGCCCAGACUCCUACGGGAGGCAGCAGUGGGGAAUAUUGCACAAUGGGCGGAAGCCUGAUGCAGCAACGCCGCGUGCGGGAUGACGGCCUUCGGGUUGUAAACCGCUUUCGCCUGUGACGAAGCGUGAGUGACGGUAAUGGGUAAAGAAGCACCGGCUAACUACGUG
rnacentral:rRNA from 1 species